GGGGAAUAUUGCGCAAUGGGGGCAACCCUGACGCAGCAACGCCGCGUGCAGGAAGAAGGUCUUCGGAUUGUAAACUGUUGUCGCAAGGGAAGAAGACAGUGACGGUACCUUGUGAGAAAGUCACGGCUAACUACGUGCCAGCAGCCGCGGUAAUACGUAGGUGACAAGCGUUGUCCGGAUUUACUGGGUGUAAAGGGCGCGUAGGCGGACUGUCAAGUCAGUCGUGAAAUACCGGGGCUUAACCCCGGGGCUGCGAUUGAAACUGACAGCCUUGAGUAUCGGAGAGGAAAGCGGAAUUCCUAGUGUAGCGGUGAAAUGCGUAGAUAUUAGGAGGAACACCAGUGGCGAAGGCGGCUUUCUGGACGACAACUGACGCUGAGGCGCGAAAGUGUGGGGAGCAAACAGGAUUAGAUACCCUGGUAGUCCACACCGUAAACGAUGGAUACUAGGUGUAGGAGGUAUCGACCCCUUCUGUGCCGCAGUUAACACAAUAAGUAUCCCACCUGGGGAGUACGACCGCAAGGUUGAAACUCAAAGGAAUUGACGGGGGCCCGCACAAGCAGUGGAGUAUGUGGUUUAAUUCGAAGCAACGCGAAGAACCUUACCUGGGCUUGACAUCCCUGGAAUCGAGUAGAGAUACUUGAGUGCCUUCGGGAAUCAGGUGACAGGUGGUGCAUGGUUGUCGUCAGCUCGUGUCGUGAGAUGUUGGGUUAAGUCCCGCAACGAGCGCAACCCCUAUUGUCAGUUGCCAUCAUUAAGUUGGGCACUCUGGCGAGACUGCCGGUGACAAAUCGGAGGAAGGUGGGGACGACGUCAAAUCAUCAUGCCCCUUAUGCCCAGGGCUACACACGUACUACAAUGGCCGAUAACAAAGUGCAGCGAAACCGUGAGGUGGAGCGAAUCACAAAACUCGGUCUCAGUUCAGAUUGCAGGCUGCAACUCGCCUGCAUGAAGUUGGAAUUGCUAGUAAUCGCGGAUCAGCAUGCCGCGGUGAAUACGUUCCCG
rnacentral:rRNA from 1 species